AUUGAACGCUGGCGGCAUGCUUUACACAUGCAAGUCGAACGGCAGCGCGGGCUUCGGCCUGGCGGCGAGUGGCGAACGGGUGAGUAAUGCAUCGGAACGUGCCCAGUAGUGGGGGGUAGCCCGGCGAAAGCCGGAUUAAUACCGCAUACGACCUGAGGGUGAAAGCGGGGGACCGAAAGGCCUCGCGCUAUUGGAGCGGCCGAUGUCGGAUUAGCUAGUUGGUGGGGUAAAGGCUUACCAAGGCGACGAUCCGUAGCUGGUCUGAGAAGACGACCAGCCACACUGGGACUGAGACACGGCCCAGACUCCUACGGGAGGCAGCAGUGGGGAAUUUUGGACAAUGGGGGCAACCCUGAUCCAGCCAUGCCGCGUGCGGGAAGAAGGCCUUCGGGUUGUAAACCGCUUUUGUUCGGGAAGAAAUCCUCUGGGCUAAUACCCCGGGGGGAUGACGGUACCGGAAGAAUAAGCACCGGCUAACUACGUG
rnacentral:rRNA from 1 species